UACGGAGGAUGCGAGCGUUAUCCGGAUUUAUUGGGUUUAAAGGGUGCGUAGGCGGGAUGCCAAGUCAGCGGUAAAAAUGCGGUGCUCAACGCCGUCGAGCCGUUGAAACUGGCGUUCUUGAGUGGGCGAGAAGUAUGCGGAAUGCGUGGUGUAGCGGUGAAAUGCAUAGAUAUCACGCAGAACUCCGAUUGCGAAGGCAGCAUACCGGCGCCAUACUGACGCUGAGGCACGAAAGCGUGGGUAUCGAACAGG
rnacentral:rRNA from 1 species